rnacentral:rRNA from 1 species
ACUCCUGCGGGAGGCAGCAGUGGGGAAUAUUGGACAAUGGGCGCAAGCCUGAUCCAGCCAUGCCGCGUGAGUGAUGAAGGCCCUAGGGUUGUAAAGCUCUUUCACCGGUGAAGAUAAUGACGGUAACCGGAGAAGAAGCCCCGGCUAACUUCGUGCCAGCAGCCGCGGUAAUACGAAGGGGGCUAGCGUUGUUCGGAUUUACUGGGCGUAAAGCGCACGUAGGCGGACUAUUAAGUCAGGGGUGAAAUCCCGGGGCUCAACCCCGGAACUGCCUUUGAUACUGGUAGUCUUGAGUUCGAGAGAGGUGAGUGGAAUUCCGAGUGUAGAGGUGAAAUUCGUAGAUAUUCGGAGGAACACCAGUGGCGAAGGCGGCUCACUGGCUCGAUACUGACGCUGAGGUGCGAAAGCGUGGGGAGCAAACAGGAUUAGAUACCCUUGUAGUCCCA